UUUCAUCUUAAUCCUCUGUUGAAGAAGAUUCGUCCCACUCCUUCCAUAUCCUCUCCCUAGCCGCUGCUCCACUACAAAACCACUGUGAAGAACCUGCCUGCUCCAGUGAAACCAUAACAUUGCUCUUUUUCUCCUUUCCCUCAUAUCUGAACCAUUGGAGAACAAAUACAAAAAGAUUUUCGCACCUCAAAAACUUGAAAUUAUGGUUAUCAGUCUUUUAUAAUUAGGGAUCUUUAGAGGUGUUGAUGUAAAGUUCCCUCAUAAAAUGAUCUUGACCUCUAUAAAUAUUAUUGCAUCCACGUCGUAUUGGAAUAAAGUUGCUUGAAUUUUAACCACGAUGGAUGGAGAAGUCAACGCGUGAAUGGGAAUCAUCACCCCAUUGGAUGCUCGGAAGAAAGCGCCAUAAAGGGUUGACAGAGCAACUUCGCUAGUAAAACAGGAGAUGGUAAUGAAGCUGGAGGCUUGUAGAAGCUAUUAGUGCAAUGACUAGUCUGAUAUAUUUUCUCUACAUGAACGUUUUUCUUAUGUAAACCAGUGUGUUAUCUAAAGCUUUUAACUAGUCCAACGGAAAUCUUCUCUAUUGUAGCAAAAUUUAAAAAAAAAAAGGGUACUCACGUUGCAGCCUGCUUGGUUAAAAUGAAAAUCAUUACCAACCAAAUUAAGGGACUAUCUUACUGGAGCAUACAUAAAAGGAUUUAUACUUAUAUUCUUAGCAUGUUAUUCAAGAAUCUUUCUUUAGAAUGGAUGAUGAAUGGAAGCGAGAUUAGAUUGACGUAUAGAAACUCUACAGAUUUUAUCCCUUUCUCUUAGGGAAUCUCUACUAGACGAGGGAGAUAUAAAGGUAACAUUGACUUUAUAAAAAUGAAAGUCAUUUCAUAAGUAAUGAAUGAGUAACUUUCUUAUUAGAAGCCUAUUUGACUAAACAAGUUUCUUUUACAGGUCCACAUAGAAGUCUUGCUCUGGAUUUCCAAAAGAAUUUAAGAUUAAGAAUGUUGGAUUUAUUACACAUUGGUGGAAUUGAAUUAUAAGGCUUUUAACUAGCUUAGUUAAUUUAUUUAAACUAGUAAAUAUAGUAUGUUUUAUUGGCAGCGAGUAAAUCUUUGAUGCAGAGGGUGGAAGAUGUUAUGAAUCUGAAGUGGACUCUUGUCUUAGGUUCACACUUUAUUUUCUCUUUCCUCAAAAAGUAAUUUACGGUAUUCUGUGAGUCCCUGCUUAUGGUAGGUAACAAACCAUCACCAUCGCCAUUGCCAUUAUCAUCCCUAAUCAAAAAGUGUUUUAGUUUACGUGAAUUUACCCUGUUGAACAUAGCUCUAACCCAUUCUGCUAUCAUGCUUUUGGUGAAGUCCGCUUUCAGUAGCCAUCUUCCCCAAUGUGUCUCUUCCCUGAAGUGAGAACACUGCUGCCCAUCAAAGGACAUAAGGAGAAGAUUGAAAAGGUGAUGAAUUCAAUUGAGUUAUCCCUACUUGAUUUGUCACGCCCCGAGAUACCCCCGAGACGCGGACACGGAACUAGGACCACAAGUGAUCCCAAGCUAA